rnacentral:misc_RNA from 1 species
GAUGAAGAACGUAGCGAAAUGCGAUAAGUAAUGUGAAUUGCAGAAUUCAGUGAAUCAUCGAAUCUUUGAACGCACAUUGCGCCCCUUGGUAUUCCGAGGGGCAUGCCUGUUCGAGCGUCAUUAUAACCCCUCAAGCUCAGCUUGGUGUUGGGGCCUGCUGCACUGGCAGCCCUUAAAAUCAGUGGCGGCGCCAUCUGGCUCUAAGCGUAGUAAUUCUUCUCGCUAUGGAGUCCUGGUGGAUGCUUGCCAUCAACCCCCAAUUUUUCUAUGGUUGACCUCGGAUCAGGUAGGGAUACCCGCUGAACUUAAGCAUAUCUAAGCGGAGGA